UGGGGAAUUUUGGACAAUGGGCGCAAGCCUGAUCCAGCCAUUCCGCGUGCAGGACGAAGGCCUUCGGGUUGUAAACUUCUUUUGUACGGAACGAAAAGGCUCUGGUUAAUACCCGGGGCUCAUGACGGUACCGUAAGAAUAAGCACCGGCUAACUACGUGCCAGCAGCCGCGGUAAUACGUAGGGUGCAAGCGUUAAUCGGAAUUACUGGGCGUAAAGCGUGCGCAGGCGGUGAUGUAAGACAGAUGUGAAAUCCCCGGGCUCAACCUGGGAACUGCAUUUGUGACUGCAUCGCUGGAGUGCGGCAGAGGGGGAUGGAAUUCCGCGUGUAGCAGUGAAAUGCGUAGAUAUGCGGAGGAACACCGAUGGCGAAGGCAAUCCCCUGGGCCUGCACUGACGCUCAUGCACGAAAGCGUGGGGAGCAAACAGG
rnacentral:rRNA from 1 species